rnacentral:rRNA from 1 species
GCUUGUCUCAAAGAUUAAGCCAUGCAUGUCUAAGUAUAAACACCUUUAUACUGUGAAACUGCGUACAGCUCAUUAAAUCAGUAAUAAUUUAUUUGAUGGUGACUUACUACAUGGAUAACCGUAGUAACCUAGAGCUAAUACAUGCACAAAAUCCCGACUUCACGGAAGGGAUGUAUUUAUUAGAUAAAAAACCAAUCCGGCAACGGUGCUUGGUGAUUCAUAAUAACUGUUCGGAUCGUAUGGCUUUUUGCCGACGACAGAUCAUUCAAAUUUCUGCCCUAUCAGCUUUCGACGGUACUGUAGUGGACUACCGUGGCAUUAACGGGUGACGGAGAAUUAGGGUUCGAUUCCGGAGAGGGAGCCUGAGAAAUGGCUACCACAUCCAAGGAAGGCAGCAGG